UACGUAGGGGGCAAGCGUUAUCCGGAUUUACUGGGUGUAAAGGGAGCGUAGACGGCUUUGCAAGCCAGAUGUGAAAGCCCGGGGCUCAACCUCGGGACUGCAUUUGGAACUGUAUGGCUGGAGUGUCGGAGAGGCAGGCGGAAUUCCUAGUGUAGCGGUGAAAUGCGUAGAUAUUAGGAGGAACACCAGUGGCGAAGGCGGCUUACUGGACGACUACUGACGCUGAGGCUCGAAAGCGUGGGGAGCAAACAGG
rnacentral:rRNA from 1 species